UCCCUGGUGGUCCAGUGGCUAAGACUCUGAGCUCCAGAUGCAGGGAGCCUGGGUUCAAUCCUUGGUCAGGGAA
rnacentral:tRNA from 1 species